rnacentral:rRNA from 1 species
AAUUCGAAGCAACGCGAAGAACCUUACCAGGUCUUGACAUCCCCUGACAACCGAGAGAUCGGGCGUUCCCCUUCGGGGGACAGGGUGACAGGUGGUGCAUGGUUGUCGUCAGCUCGUGUCGUGAGAUGUUGGGUUAAAGUCCCGCAACCGAGCCGCAACCUCGACCUUAGUUGCCAGCAUUCAGUUGGGCACUCUAAGGUGACUGCCGGCUAAAAGUCGGAGGAAGGUGGGGAUGACGUCAAGUCCUCAUGGCCCUUAUGUCCAGGGCUACACACGUGCUACAAUGGCCGGUACAAAGGGCUGCAAUACCGCAAGGUGGAGCGAACCCAAAAAGCCGGUCUCAGUUCGGAUUGGAGUCUGCAACUCGACUCCAUGAAGUUGGAAUCGCUAGUAAUCGCGGAUCAAGCAUGCCGCGGUGAAUACCGUUCCCGGGCCUU